UGGGGAAUAUUGCGCAAUGGGCGAAAGCCUGACGCAGCAACGCCGCGUGCGGGAUGAAGGCCUUCGGGUUGUAAACCGCUUUCAGUGGGGACGAAAAUGACGGUACCCACAGAAGAAGCCCCGGCCAACUACGUGCCAGCAGCCGCGGUAACACGUAGGGGGCGAGCGUUGUCCGGAUUUAUUGGGCGUAAAGAGCUCGUAGGCGGGCCUCCAAGUCCGGGGUGAAAUCCUCCAGCCUAACUGGAGAAGAGCCUCGGAGACUGGGGGCCUCGAGGGAGGUAGGGGCAAGCGGAACUAUGGGUGGAGCGGUGAAAUGCAUUGAUAUCCAUAGGAACUCCGGUGGCGAAGGCGGCUUGCUGGACCUCUUCUGACGCUGAGGCGCGAAAGCCAGGGGAGCAAACGG
rnacentral:rRNA from 1 species